rnacentral:rRNA from 1 species
CCUACGGGGGGCAGCAGUGGGGAAUAUUGGACAAUGGGCGAAAGCCUGAUCCAGCCAUGCCGCGUGUGUGAAGAAGGCCUUCGGGUUGUAAAGCACUUUCAGUGGGGAAGAAAGCCUUGGGGCUAAUACCCUCGAGGAAGGACAUCACCCACAGAAGAAGCACCGGCUAACUCCGUGCCAGCAGUCGCGGUAAUACGGAGGGUGCGAGCGUUAAUCGGAAUUACUGGGCGUAAAGCGCGCGUAGGCGGUCUGAUAAGCCGGUUGUGAAAGCCCCGGGCUCAACCUGGGAACGGCAUCCGGAACUGUCAGGCUAGAGUGCAGGAGAGGAAGGUAGAAUUCCCGGUGUAGCGGUGAAAUGCGUAGAGAUCGGGAGGAAUACCAGUGGCGAAGGCGGCCUUCUGGACUGACACUGACGCUGAGGUGCGAAAGCGUGGGUAGCAAACAGGAUUAGAUACCCCAGUAGUC